rnacentral:rRNA from 1 species
AUUGAACGCUGGCGGCAGGCCUAACACAUGCAAGUCGAGCGGAGCGGCGGACGGGUGAGGAAGGCCAAGGAAUCUGAAUGGUAGUGGGAGAUAACGAUCGGACACGGGCGCUAAUACCGCAUACUAACAAAUGACCCUAGGCCGGCUGAGCUAGUGGGUGGGGUAAAGGCCUACCAAGGCGACGAUCCGUAACUGGUCUUAGAGGAUGAUCAGUCACACUGGAACGGAUACACGGUCCAGACUCCUACGUGAGGCAGCAGUGGUGAAUAUUGGGCAAUGGGCGAAAGCCUGAUCCAGCCAUGCCGCGUGUGUGAAGAAGGUCUUCGGAUUGUAAAGCACUUUAAGUUGGGAGGCGUUACCAACAGAAUAAGCACCGGCUAACUUCGUGCCAGCAGCCGCGGUAAUAC